rfam:Zea mays cultivar B73 chromosome 4, whole genome shotgun sequence.
GGCCUAUUGACUCAGCUGGUUAGACCGUCGUGCUAAUAACGUGAAGGUCGCAGGUUCGAGACUUGCAUGGGCCA